rnacentral:misc_RNA from 1 species
GAUGAAGAACGCAGCGAAAUGCGAUAAGUAAUGUGAAUUGCAGAAUUCAGUGAAUCAUCGAGUCUUUGAACGCACAUUGCGCCCCCUGGUAUUCCGGGGGGCAUGCCUGUCCGAGCGUCAUUGCUGCCCUCAAGCACGGCUUGUGUGUUGGGCUUCCGUCCCUGGCAACGGGGACGGGCCCAAAAGGCAGUGGCGGCACCAUGUCUGGUCCUCGAGCGUAUGGGGCUUUGUCACCCGCUCCCGUAGGUCCAGCUGGCAGCUAGCCUCGCAACCAAUCUUUUUAACCAGGUUGACCUCGGAUCAGGUAGGGAUACCCGCUGAACUUAAGCAUAUCAAUAAGCGGAGGA